ensembl:lncRNA
GGUAAAAGGUACUGAUUGAUAUUCAGUGCAACAGAUGAAAGUCCCAUGAAAUAUGGGACACAUCCACCAUAAUCAAAUGAAGGAGAAACAAUUUGGAGGUGUUAAGUUUUUUUGGCUCUUUGUUUUGUUUUUAUACUAAUGUGUGUGUUAUGCUUGUAAUCUUUUUUUGACGUGCUGCCUUUUUAACUAGAAAAUAAUCAGCUUAUAAGUUAUCUGAAAUUCUUUCUUCAUUUACGAUAUUUUGAUUUAGAUUGCGUCAGUGGGCAAAAAUAUGACCAAUAUCUCUCUUCGGGGUGUUUUUUAAGUGGCACAGUUUAGUUUCUGUCUUGAUUCCACACUGUCAUCUAAUUCAAUCAGACUCUUGAAGUUGAUUAGCCUGGUUAACCUUUGCUCCUGCUUGGGUCUGGAAGGGUUAAUCAGGCCGGGAACUUGGAGACCUCCGGGUCAGUAUCCCUCUAUCUGCAUGAAGGACUUGGUGGAGGAAGAUUAAAGUCAACUUCUUCUUUUUUUUUUUUUUUCAUUUUUGACAUUUAGCACAAGUGUGAGAGAGCUCUUUGGCCGUCAGCAGUUCAAUUUUCUUUUUUUAGAUCUUGGUGCGUUUUAAAAGCAUAUUUGUAGGAAUUAAAAAAUUUUUUUUUAACUACAUUCGGUUUUUAGUAUAUGUCUAUAACGUUUUGCAGAAUAUAAUCACGUCGGAGCGCACUUCCCAGUUUAACCUGAUAUUGGAGGGAAAGCUUUUCCUUCGCACGCCCGUAAAUCUCAAGAAUUGUCUAUCUCGCUAUCGAUUAAUUUAACUGCAAUCAUUCCAAUCAGCACAUCUCCAGUCCCGUGUUCCAGAGACUGUGCUUUGUUUUACUAACAAUAAUAAAGUGAUUUAGUCCUUUCUCCCUGUCAGAGCAUGGGAAAUCGUUAAAGAUCUAGCUAUUUGUCUGUGAUCAGUAAAUAUUUAGUGCAGGCGACAUCCUCUGUCUCCUCUUAAUCGAUACUGAUCCCGUUGGGCAGCGCAAUUGUUAUGUGCAUGCAGGCUUGCUGAGCAUACACUGCUUUUAUCCUCUGCUUGAAAAGGAGAACCAGUACAAAUC